CUCUUCCCAUCGCGGCGGGUCCUGGCCACCGGUGUCUCCUUCUACAUCCUCCUCUGCUCCGGCUGCCACCCGCGCUCCCGCCGCCGCUGCCUUGCUGCUGCUCAAAGCUGCUGCCGCCCCCUGGGCUAAAAGGUUUUCAAAUGGAACAUUUUGAUGCAUCACUUAGUACCUAUUUCAAGGCAUGGCUAGGCCCCCGAGAUACUAGAGUAAAAGGAUGGUUUCUUCUGGACAAUUAUAUACCCACAUUUAUCUGCUCUGUCAUAUAUUUACUAAUUGUAUGGCUGGGACCAAAAUACAUGAGGAAUAAACAGCCAUUCUCUUGCCGGGGGAUUUUAGUGGUGUAUAACCUUGGACUCACACUGCUGUCUCUGUAUAUGUUCUGUGAGAAUGAAGUCAGUUUAAUUAGCCUCCAAGAUGGAGAGUUCAGGACUGGAGCCAGGGGAAAUGCACAGGAGUGAUUCCUGGCCCCAGCACUAUGCACAUUUCUGUGUUCAAGGGACAAAACCACAGCAAGCUGUCAGAUGAUUCCCUGGUAAAGAGGAGAAGAAAAACGCUGUAUAAAGUACAGCUGUGUGCAUCUGAGUGGAUGUGGGGGGUUCUGAACACAUUGUAAUAGAAGGACUUCUGAUCAGCCUGCAUGGAUCCUGCUUGACUAGCCAUGACUUUAGAGAGUAGUAUAAGACCGAAAAGUUAAUACACCAUCUAAUGAAUUACCAUUUAGUAACAGGAGUAUGGGAAGGCAAAUACAACUUCUUCUGUCAGGGCACACGCACCGCAGGAGAAUCAGAUAUGAAG
rnacentral:sRNA from 1 species